rnacentral:tRNA from 1 species
CAGAAAAUAGUUUAAAAAGAAUAUUAAUUUUGGAGAUUAAAGGUGUAUAAUUAAGGUAUAUUUUUUUGA